rnacentral:rRNA from 1 species
AACGAACGCUGGCGGCAUGCUUAACACACGCAAGUCGAACGGGGUACAUGUGCUUGCACAUGUACUUAGGUGGCAGACGGGUGAGUAACGCGUGGGAACGUACCUUUUGGUUCAGGACAACGGCUGGAAACGGUCGCUAAUACUGAAUACGCCCUUAGGGGAAAGAUUUAUUGCCAAGAGAGCGGCCCGCGUUAGAUUAGGUAGUUGGUGGGGUAAUGGCUUACCAAGCCUGUGAUCUAUAGCUGGUUUGAGAGGAUGAUCAGCCACACUGGGACUGAGACACGGCCCAGACUCCUACGGGAGGCAGCAGUGGGGAAUAUUGGACAAUGGGGGCAACCCUGAUCUAGCGAUGCCGCGUGAGUGAUGAAGGCCC